rnacentral:rRNA from 1 species
UUGAUCUCAAAUCAGGUAGGACUACCCGCUGAACUUAAGCAUAUCAAUAAGCGGAGGAAAAGAAACUAACAAGGAUUCCCCUAGUAACUGCGAGUGAAGCGGGAAAAGCNCAAAUUUAAAAUCUGACAGUCUUUUGACUGUCCGAGUUGUAAUCUAGAGAAGUGCUUUCCGCGUUGGACUGUGUACAAGUCUCUUGGAACAGAGCUUCAUAGAGGGUGAGAAUCCCGUCUUUGACACAGACUACCAAUGCUUUUGUGAUGUGCUCUCAAAGAGUCGAGUUGUUUGGGAAUGCAGCUCAAAAUGGGUGGUAAAUUCCAUCUAAGCUAAAUAUGGCGAGAGACCGAUAGCGAACAAGUA